rnacentral:sRNA from 1 species
CAAAUGGCGCUCCCGGGGUCUCCUCGGGAGCAGGUCUGUCCGAGCGUCUGCCAACCAUAAGUCCUCGCCCGGUGCGAGGAGAUUGGGGAACUGCGGUGUAUUGGUUGACCGCACUCCUUGAAGAUUCAACGACCGGUGUGCUUGCCUGCCGUACGAGUCGGUCGGUGACAACGGUGCACAGUGUUGUCCCGUCGUGCUGGUGCGUGCAGACCAUCGGUCGCGUGCACUCAGGUGGCACUAUCCAAUCUGGACCUCGGAUCAGGCCAGUCUACCCGCUGAAUUUAAGCAUAUCAAUAAGCGGAGGAAAAGAAACUAACAAGUAUUCCCUUAGUAACGGCGAGCGAAGCGGGAACAGCUCAAAUUUGAAAUCCUCCGGUGCCUGCACCGGCGAAUUGUAGUCUAUAGGGCCAGUUUCGCCCGACGCAGCGUCCCCAAAGUCGUCCUGGAAAGGCGGGCCAGAGAGGGUGAGAGCCCCGUGUGCGGGGGCACUGCGGAGGGUAAGAUCUGUGCCCGAAGAGUCGGGUUGUUUGGGAUUGCAGCCCAAAAUGGGUGGUAAACUCCAUCUAAAGCUAAAUACUGGCACGAGACCGAUAGCGAACAAGUACCG